CCUACGGGAGGCAGCAGUAGGGAAUCUUUCACAAUGGGCGAAAGCCUGAUGGAGCAACGCCGCGUGCAGGAUGAAGGCCUUCGGGUUGUAAACUGCUUUUAUAAGCGAGAAAUAUGAUGGUAACUUAUGAAUAAGGAUCGGCUAACUACGUGCCAGCAGCCGCGGUCAUACGUAGGAUCCGAGCAUUAUCCGGAGUGACUGGGUGUAAAGAGUUGCGUAGGUGGCAUAAUAAGUAGCUAGUGAAAUCUGGUGGCUCAACCAUUCAGACUAUUAGCUAAACUGUUAAGCUCGAGACCGUUAGGGGUAACUGGAAUUUCUGGUGUAGGAGUGAAAUCCGUAGAUAUUAGAAGGAACACCAAUAGCGUAGGCAGGUUGCUGGGACGGUUCUGACGCUAAGGCACGAAAGCGUAGGGAGCAAACGGGAUUAGAUACCCGAGUAGUC
rnacentral:rRNA from 1 species